rnacentral:rRNA from 1 species
CCUACGGGAGGCAGCAGUGGGGAAUCUUGCGCAAUGGACGAAAGUCUGACGCAGCAACGCCGCGUGGGGGAUGAAGCUUCUCGGAGUGUAAACCCCUUUCGACCCGGACGCGGUACGGGUAUAAGAAGCCCCGGCUAACUACGUGCCAGCAGCCGCGGUAAAACGUAGGGGGCCAGCGUUGCUCGGAAUUACUGGGCGUAAAGGGUCCGUAGGCGGUGUGGCAAGUCGGAAGUGAAAUCUCUGGGCUUAACCCAGAGGCUGCUCCCGAAACUGCCGUGCUAGAGUGCGAGAGAGGCGAGUGGAAUUGCGGGUGUAGCGGUGAAAUGCGUAGAUAUCCGCAGGAACAUCCGAGGCGAAAGCGGCUCGCUGGAUCGCACUGACGCUGAGGGACGAAAGCUAGGGGAGCAAACAGGAUUAGAUACCCUUGUAGUC